rnacentral:rRNA from 1 species
UACGGGGGAUGCAAGCGUUAUCCGGAAUCAUUGGGCGUAAAGCGCCUGUAGGUGGUUUAAUAAGUCUGUUGUUAAAGACUAGGGCUCAACCCUAGAAAAGCAAUGGAAACUACUAGACUAGAGUAUGGUAGGGGUAGAGGGAAUUUCUAGUGUAGCGGUGAAAUGCGUAGAUAUUAGAAAGAACACCAGUGGCGAAAGCGCUCUACUGGACCAUUACUGACACUCAGAGGCGAAAGCUAGGGUAGCAAAAGGGAUUAGAUACCCCUGUAGUCCUAGCCGUAAACGAUGGAUACUAGAUGUGGUGCUUCCGUACAGUAUCGCAGCUAACGCGUUAAGUAUCCCGCCUGGGGAGUACGCUCGCAAGGGUG